rnacentral:rRNA from 1 species
AAAAGGUGGCUAUACUACCGCUUUUGGAUGGGCCCGCGGCGCAUUAGCUAGUUGGUGGGGUAAAGGCUUACCAAGGCAAUGAUGCGUAGCCGAACUGAGAGGUUGAUCGGCCACAUUGGGACUGAGACACGGCCCAAACUCCUACGGGAGGCAGCAGUAGGGAAUCUUCCACAAUGGGCGAAAGCCUGAUGGAGCAACGCCGCGUGGGUGAAGAAGGUCUUCGGAUCGUAAAACCCUGUUGUUAGAGAAGAAAGUGCGUGAGAGUAACUGUUCACGUUUCGACGGUAUCUAACCAGAAAGCCACGGCUAACUACGUGCCAGCAGCCGCGGUAAUACGUAGGUGGCAAGCGUUAUCCGGAUUUAUUGGGCGUAAAGGGAACGCAGGCGGUCUUUUAAGUCUGAUGUGAAAGCCUUCGGCUUAACCGGAGUAGUGCAUUGGAAACUGGGAGACUUGAGCGCAGAAGAGGAGAGUGGAACUCCAUGUGUAGCGGUGAAAUGCGUAGAUAUAUGGAAGAACACCAGUGGCGAAAGCGGCUCUCUGGUCUGUAACUGACGCUGAGGUUCGAAAGCGUGGGUAGCAAACAGGAUUAGAUACCCUGGUAGUCCACGCCGUAAACGAUGAAUGCUAAGUGUUGGAGGGUUUCCGCCCUUCA